rnacentral:snRNA from 1 species
GUGCUCAUUUCAGCAGCACAUAUACUAAAAUUGGAAUGAUACAGAGAAGAUUAGUAUGGCCCCCGCGUAAGGAUGACACACAAAUUCGUGAAGCAUUCCACAAAANN